rnacentral:rRNA from 1 species
AGAGUUUGAUCCUGGCUCAGAUUGAACGCUGGCGGCAGGCCUAACACAUGCAAGUCGAACGGUAACAGGAAGCAGCUUGCUGCUUUGCUGACGAGUGGCGGACGGGUGAGUAAUGUCUGGGAAACUGCCUGAUGGAGGGGGAUAACUACUGGAAACGGUGGCUAAUACCGCAUAACGUCGCAAGACCAAAGAGGGGGACCUUCGGGCCUCUUGCCAUCAGAUGUGCCCAGAUGGGAUUAGCUGGUUGGUGAGGUAACGGCUCACCAAGGCGACGAUCCCUAGCUGGUCUGAGAGGAUGACCAGCCACACUGGAACUGAGACACGGUCCAGACUCCUACGGGAGGCAGCAGUGGGGAAUAUUGCACAAUGGGCGCAAGCCUGAUGCAGCCAUGCCGCGUGUAUGAAGAAGGCCUUCGGGUUGUAAAGUACUUUCAGCGGGGAGGAAGGUGUUGUGGUUAAUAACCACAGCAAUUGACGUUACCCGCAGAAGAAGCACCGGCUAACUCCGUGCCAGCAGCCGCGGUAAUACGGAGGGUGCAAGCGUUAAUCGGAAUUACUGGGCGUAAAGCGCACGCAGGCGGUCUGUCAAGUCGGAUGUGAAAUCCCCGGGCUCAACCUGGGAACUGCAUUCGAAACUGGCAGGCUUGAGUCUUGUAGAGGGGGGUAGAAUUCCAGGUGUAGCGGUGAAAUGCGUAGAGAUCUGGAGGAAUACCGGUGGCGAAGGCGGCCCCCUGGACAAAGACUGACGCUCAGGUGCGAAAGCGUGGGGAGCAAACAGGAUUAGAUACCCUGGUAGUCCACGCCGUAAACGAUGUCUACUUGGAGGUUGUGCCCUUGAGGCGUGGCUUCCGGAGCUAACGCGUUAAGUAGACCGCCUGGGGAGUACGGCCGCAAGGUUAAAACUCAAAUGAAUUGACGGGGGCCCGCACAAGCGGUGGAGCAUGUGGUUUAAUUCGAUGCAACGCGAAGAACCUUACCUGGUCUUGACAUCCACGGAAGUUUUCAGAGAUGAGAAUGUGCCUUCGGGAACCGUGAGACAGGUGCUGCAUGGCUGUCGUCAGCUCGUGUUGUGAAAUGUUGGGUUAAGUCCCGCAACGAGCGCAACCCUUAUCCUUUGUUGCCAGCGAUUAGGUCGGGAACUCAAAGGAGACUGCCAGUGAUAAACUGGAGGAAGGUGGGGAUGACGUCAAGUCAUCAUGGCCCUUACGACCAGGGCUACACACGUGCUACAAUGGCGCAUACAAAGAGAAGCGACCUCGCGAGAGCAAGCGGACCUCAUAAAGUGCGUCGUAGUCCGGAUUGGAGUCUGCAACUCGACUCCAUGAAGUCGGAAUCGCUAGUAAUCGUGGAUCAGAAUGCCACGGUGAAUACGUUCCCGGGCCUUGUACACACCGCCCGUCACACCAUGGGAGUGGGUUGCAAAAGAAGUAGGUAGCUUAACCUUCGGGAGGGCGCUUACCACUUUGUGAUUCAUGACUGGGGUGAAGUCGUAACAAGGUAGCC